rnacentral:miRNA from 1 species
CUGGAUGUGUCAUCACGUC